rnacentral:rRNA from 1 species
GGGUUGUGAGGUUAAGCGACUAAGCGUACACGGUGGAUGCCCUGGCAGUCAGAGGCGAUGAAGGACGUGCUAAUCUGCGAAAAGCGUCGGUAAGGUGAUAUGAACCGUUACAGCCGGCGAUGUCCGAAUGGGGAAACCCAGUGCAAUUCGUUGCACUAUCGUUAACUGAAUACAUAGGUUAACGAGGCGAACCGGGGGAACUGAAACAUCUAAGUACCCCGAGGAAAAGAAAUCAACCGAGAUUCCCCCAGUAGCGGCGAGCGAACGGGGAGCAGCCCAGAGUCUGAAUCAGCUUGUGUGUUAGUGGAACGGUCUGGAAAGUCCGACGGUACAGGGUGAUAGUCCCGUACACCAAAAUGCACAGGCUGUGAACUCGAAGAGUAGGGCGGGACACGUGGUAUCCUGUCUGAAUAUGGGGGGACCAUCCUCCAAGGCUAAAUACUCCUGACUGACCGAUAGUGAACCAGUACCGUGAGGGAAAGGCGAAAAGAACCCCGGCGAGGGGAGUGAAAAAGAACCUGAAACCGUGUACGUACAAGCAGUGGGAGCACCUUCGGGUGUGACUGCGUACCUUUUGUAUAAUGGGUCAGCGACUUAUAUUCUGUAGCAAGGUUAACCGUAUAGGGGAGCCGCAGGGAAACCGAGUCUUAACUGGGCGUUAAGUUGCAGGGUAUAGACCCGAAACCCGGUGAUCUAGCCAUGGGCAGGUUGAAGGUUGGGUAACACUAACUGGAGGACCGAACCGACUAAUGUUGAAAAAUUAGCGGAUGACUUGUGGCUGGGGGUGAAAGGCCAAUCAAACCGGGAGAUAGCUGGUUCUCCCCGAAAGCUAUUUAGGUAGCGCCUCGUGAACUCAUCUUCGGGGGUAGAGCACUGUUUCGGCUAGGGGGUCAUCCCGACUUACCAACCCGAUGCAAACUACGAAUACCGAAGAAUGUUAUCACGGGAGACACACGGCGGGUGCUAACGUCCGUCGUGAAGAGGGAAACAACCCAGACCGCCAGCUAAGGUCCCAAAGUCAUGGUUAAGUGGGAAACGAUGUGGGAAGGCACAGACAGCCAGGAUGUUGGCUUAGAAGCAGCCAUCAUUUAAAGAAAGCGUAAUAGCUCACUGGUCGAGUCGGCCUGCGCGGAAGAUGUAACGGGGCUAAACCAUGCACCGAAGCUGCGGCAGCGACACUAUGUGUUGUUGGGUAGGGGAGCGUUCUGUAAGCCUGCGAAGGUGUGCUGUGAGGCAUGCUGGAGGUAUCAGAAGUGCGAAUGCUGACAUAAGUAACGAUAAAGCGGGUGAAAAGCCCGCUCGCCGGAAGACCAAGGGUUCCUGUCCAACGUUAAUCGGGGCAGGGUGAGUCGACCCCUAAGGCGAGGCCGAAAGGCGUAGUCGAUGGGAAACAGGUUAAUAUUCCUGUACUUGGUGUUACUGCGAAGGGGGGACGGAGAAGGCUAUGUUAGCCGGGCGACGGUUGUCCCGGUUUAAGCAUGUAGGCUGAUUGUCCAGGCAAAUCCGGAUAAUCAAGGCUGAGGUGUGAUGACGAGGCACUACGGUGCUGAAGUAACAAAUGCCCUGCUUCCAGGAAAAGCCUCUAAGCAUCAGGUAACAUUAAAUCGUACCCCAAACCGACACAGGUGGUCAGGUAGAGAAUACCAAGGCGCUUGAGAGAACUCGGGUGAAGGAACUAGGCAAAAUGGUGCCGUAACUUCGGGAGAAGGCACGCUGGUGUGUAGGUGAAGUCCCUGCGGAUGGAGCUGAGACCAGUCGAAGAUACCAGCUGGCUGCAACUGUUUAUUAAAAACACAGCACUGUGCAAACACGAAAGUGGACGUAUACGGUGUGACGCCUGCCCGGUGCCGGAAGGUUAAUUGAUGGGGUUAUCCGUAAGGAGAAGCUCUUGAUCGAAGCCCCGGUAAACGGCGGCCGUAACUAUAACGGUCCUAAGGUAGCGAAAUUCCUUGUCGGGUAAGUUCCGACCUGCACGAAUGGCGUAAUGAUGGCCAGGCUGUCUCCACCCGAGACUCAGUGAAAUUGAACUCGCUGUGAAGAUGCAGUGUACCCGCGGCAAGACGGAAAGACCCCGUGAACCUUUACUAUAGCUUGACACUGAACAUUGAGCCUUGAUGUGUAGGAUAGGUGGGAGGCUUUGAAGCGUGGACGCCAGUCUGCGUGGAGCCAACCUUGAAAUACCACCCUUUAAUGUUUGAUGUUCUAACGUUGGCCCCUUACCGGGGUUGCGGACAGUGUCUGGUGGGUAGUUUGACUGGGGCGGUCUCCUCCCAAAGCGUAACGGAGGAGCACGAAGGUUAGCUAAUCCUGGUCGGACAUCAGGAGGUUAGUGCAAUGGCAUAAGCUAGCUUGACUGCGAGCGUGACGGCGCGAGCAGGUGCGAAAGCAGGUCAUAGUGAUCCGGUGGUUCUGAAUGGAAGGGCCAUCGCUCAACGGAUAAAAGGUACUCCGGGGAUAACAGGCUGAUACCGCCCAAGAGUUCAUAUCGACGGCGGUGUUUGGCACCUCGAUGUCGGCUCAUCACAUCCUGGGGCUGAAGUAGGUCCCAAGGGUAUGGCUGUUCGCCAUUUAAAGUGGUACGCGAGCUGGGUUUAGAACGUCGUGAGACAGUUCGGUCCCUAUCUGCCGUGGGCGCUGGAGAAUUGAGGGGGGCUGCUCCUAGUACGAGAGGACCGGAGUGGACGCAUCACUGGUGUUCGGGUUGUCAUGCCAAUGGCACUGCCCGGUAGCUAAAUGCGGAAGAGAUAAGUGCUGAAAGCAUCUAAGCACGAAACUUGCCCCGAGAUGAGUUCUCCCUGAGACUUUAAGUCUCCUGAAGGAACGUUAAAGACGAUGACGUUGAUAGGCCGGGUGUGUAAGCGCAGCGAUGCGUUGAGCUAACCGGUACUAAUGAACCGUGAGGCUUAACCUUACAACGCCGAAG